AAGAGGCUGAUGGCUGGGCCAUCAGCUCAGUUUUACCACUGAGAUAAGAAAUGAAUUUAGGCAGAAUAUGCCUCUUCCGUGCCUCAAUUUCUCCACUGGAAAAUGAAUACAGCAUGACUUGCCCUUUUACUGCAUUGGACAGCUUGCAGACUCUUCAAACUCUGUGUAAUGAAGUUGGAAAACAGACAAAUAUGAACACUGGAGAACUACCUUAUCUGCAAGGCUCCAGACAGAUGAGUAGAGAGUUGGGUAAAGGAGAAACAGAUUCCAGUUUUCCAGUUGAUCACCUUGUACAGAGAAGAACCCUUGAGAUCAAUGCUGGGAGGAAGAAGAAAGGUAGUGAAGGAGUCGAUGUGUGAUGCGGGACAGGUCUGAGCCAAGGAGCCAAGGUACAGAAGGAAUGGCAGAGCAUCAGCUGUGCAGCAGCGAUGAGAAAGACUGACGUUCGUACGAGUCUCUCCUGGCUCCUUCUCCACAAUGGAUGGUGCCUCUACAUAUUCAUUGGAUGGUAAUGCAGGAUGUCGAGAGCAGCGGUAGAGUUUGGCUUGAUCCCACUGUGUUUUUCUUCUGCCGGUUGAGACUUUGAAUCACCAUGACAACGCUGUGACACUUCCAGCAAAGGUUGCCUGCAGACCAAGGGUGGGCUGGGGGUGGGUGAGAAGGUCAAUGAUUGAGUCUAACGGGAUCAAAAGUUGUGCCUGCAGCAAAACGACUGUAGAAAAGCCGUCAGCACAACAAGAAGAUGAAAUUCCCCUUCUAUUGGCUUCUCGUUAAGCAGGCACAAUAACAUUUUUUUUCGAGAGACUCGCUAUAAAAACUCUUUUGGUUAUGGCUACUGAUCCAACGUGAUUGGGCGCGCAGCGACUUUUGAACUCAUGACUGGAUAUACGAUGUUGCGGAAUGGGGGAGUGGGGAACGGAGGCCAGCCGUGGGUGUUGAGAUGGUCCAGUCGGAUCCGGCUCACCUGGCUUAGUUUCACCCUCUUCAUUAUCCUCGUCUUCUUUCCCCUCAUUGCCCACUACUACCUAACCACCAUCGAUGAUGCGGAUGAUGCCGGCAAGCGCAUCUUUGGCCCUCGGACUGGCAAUGAGCUGUGCGAGGUAAAGCAUGUGCAAGACCUGUGCCGCAUCCGCGAGUCAGUCAGCGAGGAGUUACUCCAGCUGGAGGCCAAGCGGCAGGAGCUCAACAGUGAGAUCGCUAAGCUCAACUUGAAGAUUGAGGCCUGCAAAAAGAGCAUUGAAAAUGCCAAGCAGGACCUGCUGCAGUUGAAGAACGUCAUCAGCCAGACCGAGCAUUCCUACAAAGAGCUGAUGGCUCAGAACCAGCCCAAGCUCUCCUUGCCCAUCCGGCUGCUGCCAGACAAAGACGAUGCAACCUUCCCCCUGCCAAAAUCCAACCGGAACUGCAGGCUACACAACUGCUUUGACUACUCACGCUGCCCGUUGACAUCUGGCUUUCCAGUCUAUGUCUACAACAGUGAUGAUUACCCUUUUGGUAGUUCCUUAGACCCUUUAAUUAAACAAGCCUUUGAGGCAACUGUCAGAACUAAUGUUUAUGUUACUGAAAAUGCAAAUAUUGCUUGUGUAUAUAUAAUUUUAGUGGGGGAAAUGCAAGAGCCCGUAAUGCCAAAACCUACUGAACUAGAGCAGCAGUUGCACUCUUUGCCAUAUUGGAGGACUGAUGGACAUAACCAUCUCAUCAUCAAUUUAUCAAGGAAAUCGGAAACUCAGAACUUCAUUUACAACAUCAGCACAGGGCGCGCCAUGAUUGCCCAGUCCACCUUUUAUGAUGUGCAGUAUCGACCGGGGUUUGAUAUUGUGGUAUCGCCUCUGGUCCACGCUAUGUCGGAACCAAAUUUCCUAGAAAUCCCGCCCCAGGUGCCAGUCAAGCGUAAAUAUCUGUUUAGUUUCCAGGGGGAGAAGAUCGAGUCUCUCAGAUCUAGCCUGCAAGAGGUUCGCUCUUUCGAAGAGGAAAUAGAAGGCAAUGCCCCAGCUGACUAUGAUGAUCGGAUCAUUACCACAUUGAAGGCUGUUCAGGACAGCAAGUUGGACUUUGUUUUGGUGGAGUUCACAUGUAAGAACCAGCCUAAGGCAAGUCUGCCCACUGAGUGGGCUCUGUGUGGAGAAAGGGAUGACAGACUAGAGCUACUGAAGCUAUCUACUUUUGCACUGAUAAUCACCCCAGGGGACACCCAUUUAGUGAUCUCCGCUGGGUGUGCCAUGAGACUGUUUGAGGCUCUGGAAGUUGGAGCCAUCCCGGUGGUUCUCGGAGAGCAAGUUCAGCUACCCUAUAAUGAUGUGAUCCGGUGGAACGAGGCAGCCUUAAUUAUACCAAAGCCACGUAUCACAGAAGUGCACUUUCUUCUGAGAAGCAUUUCUGACAACGAUCUCCUUGCCAUGAGGAGGCAGGGCCGCUUCUUGUGGGAGACCUACUUCUCCACCUCUGACAACGUGUUCAGCACAGUCUUAGCUAUCAUAAGGACUCGAAUCCAAAUCCCAGCUGCUCCUAUCCGAGAAGAAACCGCUGUGGAGAUUCCCCAUCGGUCUGGCAAAGCUGCUGGUACAGACCCCAAUAUGGCAGACAACGGUGAUCUGGACUUGGGGCCUGUGGAAACGGAACCACCCUAUGCAUCUCCCAAAUAUCUCCGCAAUUUUACCCUCACUGCAAUGGACAUCUACAGAAAUUGGAAUUCUGCUCCAGGGCCUUUCCACCUCUUCCCCUACACUCCCUUUGACCCUGUUUUACCAUCAGAAGCAAAAUUUUUGGGGUCUGGGACUGGAUUUCGACCAAUUGGUGGAGGAGCAGGUGGCUCUGGGAAGGAGUUCCAGGCUGCUUUGGGCGGCAACGUCCCCCGGGAGCAGUUCACAGUAGUGAUGUUGACUUACGAGCGGGAGGAAGUGUUGAUGAACUCCCUAGAAAGGCUCAAUGGUCUCCCGUACUUAAAUAAAGUUGUGGUAGUGUGGAACUCUCCCAAGCUUCCCUCUGAGGAUCUCUUGUGGCCAGACAUUGGCGUCCCAAUCAUGGUUGUCCGCACAGAGAAGAACAGCCUGAACAACCGGUUCCUGCCGUGGGAUGAGAUUGAGACGGAGGCCAUCCUGUCCAUUGAUGACGAUGCUCACCUUCGCCACGACGAGAUCAUGUUUGGGUUCCGUGUCUGGAGAGAGGCAAGGGACCGCAUCGUUGGCUUCCCAGGGCGCUACCACGCGUGGGACAUCCCCCAUCAGUCCUGGCUCUACAACUCUAACUACUCUUGCGAGCUCUCUAUGGUGCUCACUGGUGCUGCCUUCUUCCAUAAGUACUACGCCUACCUGUACUCCUACGUGAUGCCGCAAGCCAUCCGCGACAUGGUGGAUGAGUACAUCAACUGCGAGGACAUCGCCAUGAACUUCCUGGUCUCUCACCUGACAAGAAAACCUCCCAUAAAGGUGACCUCCCGCUGGACUUUCCGCUGCCCCGGGUGCCCCCAGGCACUUUCGCACGAUGACUCUCACUUCCACGAGCGACACAAGUGCAUCAACUUCUUCGUCAAGGUGUACGGGUACAUGCCCCUCCUGUACACCCAGUUCCGUGUGGACUCGGUCCUCUUCAAGACCCGCCUGCCCCACGACAAGACAAAAUGCUUCAAGUUCAUCUAGAAGCGGGCGGCAGCCGGGCGCCCUCGGCUCUCCGAACUUCAGCCGGAGGCGGGUGAGGGCAGAGGGUGGCUUUCCUGAUGGGGCUGUGAGUGCAAAACACCUUUUGCUAUUGACUCUGGCCUCCCUCCCGCGGAGCAAAAGGGACGUCCUGGAUUUGGACGGGCACGUUUUCCCCUCCCUUCCCGCUCUCCCCACAGCACCUCGACUGAGCGACAGGGAACAGGAUCUCACGGCUUCUGUAAAGACACUGCCUAGGAUCGUACACUGAGGAAUGAGUGGCGGAAGGAGAAGACACUGAACCCUUAAUCUGUACGCAGAUAAGCAGAGCACCAGCCCAGCCUGCCUGUGCCGGAGCUGGGGCUGCACUGUGGGCCGGAGUCCCUGCUCUGCCCCGUCCCCCAUCCCAGGACGAAACGUGCCCACGUCAGGUUUGCCCGUGGGCCUCAGCGUAACUGCCUUAAACCCCCAUCCCGUCCACACUCAUGCCAUGGCCUCGGGCUGCGUUCGAAGGUUAAUCCAGCCAAGGCCUUUCCUUUGCGUGAACUGGGAGACGCUGCUGGGAUUGCCUUCACGGGGCUGUUUUCGGAGUUGGUGUCUCCCACCAAAGCGAAACGCCGUCACGUCCGUGUGAUCGCCCGACCUCUGCGCUCAACUCGCUGCUCCGUUCUGCUUCAAUCCUGGCCUGUAAGAAGAGGGAAGGACACAGGUUGCCCUCUCUUGUGUGAUGUUCUCCCUCAGUGCAUCCCAGAUGUUUAAGAGCAGCCUGGAGAAGCUCUUGCUGGGUAGAUGGUGAUUCACCUCAAUGUCCCCGGUUUUCCUGGCCUGACUUCCACUGUGGCAGGUUGCAGCUCAGCAUCCCGGCACCCUGCAGCAGAAGGAUGUUACCACCUGGUUGUGUCCCAAAAGAGGAGCAGCGGGGAUGGUCCAUCAGCAGCUCCUGGGCUCACUCGUGCUUGAAACGGAGCAUGUGAAGGGUCAGUCUCUUGAGAAAUGCAACUGGAGACUCCUGUGAGGCCCUGAAACACCUGGAAGGAUGUUUUCUGCCCCUGCUCAGAGUGGAAAUGUGGCACUCUUCAGCAACUGCACCAGCUUCAGCAUCCCUGAGGGGCCUGACACUCCUCUGCUUUAAUUCUCCCCUCAUUAACAGGUGGUUCGUUACCAGCGAUGCGGUCGCUCACCUACAGCACAGGUCCCUGGUGUCAUCCAAGGGUGGAGGCAGCUCUGCCUUCCCCAGCCCUCUGCCCACAUGGCAAGAGUCAAAAGGGAGUAAGGAUGGAUGCCAGCAGCUGUGGAUUGCACUUUAUAUAAACAGAGAUACGCUUCUCGGCAACUUGUUUUGAAAAAACCUUAAGGGGAAUUUCGUUAUUCUGGUGAGAGACAGUAAUACAGGGAGCUUGGAAAAGGGGGAUGUGAUGUGAAGUAUUUGCGUUGGGGUUU